GCCUAGCUGGUGAGUCCCAACUAGGACGAAACGUGUGUCCUAGAC
rnacentral:hammerhead_ribozyme from 1 species